rnacentral:rRNA from 1 species
GUAGGUGGCAAGCGUUGUCCGGAAUUAUUGGGCGUAAAGCGCGCGCAGGCGGUUCUUUAAGUCUGAUGUGAAAGCCCACGGCUCAACCGUGGAGGGUCAUUGGAAACUGGAGAACUUGAGUACAGAAGAGGAAAGCGGAACUCCACGUGUAGCGGUGAAAUGCGUAGAGAUGUGGAGGAACACCAGUGGCGAGGGCGGCUUUCUGGUCUGUAACUGACGCUGAGGCUCGAAAGCGUGGGGAGCAAACAGGGACUAGAUACCCUGGUAGUCCACGCCGUAAACGAUGAGUGCUAAGUGUUAGGGGGGUUUCCGCCCCCUUAGUGCUGCAGCUAACGCAUUAAGCACUCCGCCUGGGGAGUACGGCCGCAAGGCUG